GUGGUUGUAGCUCAGUGGUAGAUUGCUUACCUAGCACAUGUGAGGCACUAGGUUCGAUCCUUAGCACCACA
rnacentral:tRNA from 1 species